rnacentral:rRNA from 1 species
GUAGGUGGCAAGCGUUGUCCGGAAUUAUUGGGCGUAAAGCGCGCGCAGGCGGUUCCUUAAGUCUGAUGUGAAAGCCCACGGCUCAACCGUGGAGGGUCAUUGGAAACUGGAGAACUUGAGUACAGAAGAGGAAAGCGGAAUUCCACGUGUAGCGGUGAAAUGCGUAGAGAUGUGGAGGAACACCAGUGGCGAAGGCGGCUUUCUGGUCUGUAACUGACGCUGAGGCGCGAAAGCGUGGGGAGCAAACAGGAUUAGAUACCCUGGUAGUCCACGCCGUAAACGAUGAGUGCUAAGUGUUAGGGGGUUUCCGCCCCCCUUAGUGCUGCAGCUAACGCAUUAAGCACUCCGCCUGGGAGUACGGCCGCAAGGCUG